UGCUUAUUUUAUUUUUGGGGGAGCUUUACUUUAGAAGUGCUGAGCCGCCCGAGGGCCCUUUUUCUCCAUUUGUAUUUUGUGUGUCUUCUGAAAAUUGUAUCCUAGCUAAAGCUACUCUUUCUCCCUUGGUGGCUUUUGAACUCACGUGGUGAACUGUGACCCCGAAAGAGCAACAGAAAUACCCUCAGGGCUUACAGAAACAGGUAUGCUUCUCUCCUUCAUGUGAAGUGAGUCAAGAUCUGGAUGCAGCUGAAAUGGAUUUAUUUAUCUUUAAUGCUGCUCUUGUCAUCAAAACUCUACUGUUUGGGUAGCAGUAACUGGCUGAGGAUGAGCGGCAUCAAUUAUCUAUUACAACUCCAAGCUGUCAAUCAAAACCCAUGUUAUUUCCUAGGCCCCAGGCAACCAAAGGCAUCAAACUAACAAGAACUCGGAGGAGCAGAUAAACAUGAAGGUUGAGCUACAAAGUUCCCAGGAACGCAUGAGACAAUGGGAGUCCUCAGUGCCCCCAGCUCACUCUGGCUCAUACCAGACGCAGGUGGGAACAGAGAGGUGGUGGUGGAGGAAGAACGGGGCCCCCAAAUUCCCAGAUGGGGGCUGACAUAAACUUCCAAGAGAACACGGACACGGACUCUGCUGCAGGGAGUAAAGAAAGCCUUAUCAAAAUCAACUUGGAGGGCCUGGCCAAUUUUUCCGGACACUUGCUCCCUGGACAAAAGCUGUGAGAAAACUCGGAGUGAUGUCUGCUCAUGAGAACAUAAUGGCAAAGUCAGAAAAAAACAGAGGAGUGGAUCAGAAUCAAUCACUUUUUAAGUGAGCAGAGUCAGGGACCAGGAAGGACAAAAUUCCCAAUACCUGUUUUGUAGCAGCAUGGGAAACAAGCUCAUUUUAACCUGUCACUGUACAUCAAUCACUCUUCAAGCUCAAUGGAGGCAGGAAUUCUCCCUCUAAUAAUGAUAUUUACCUGCAAAUGGGUUGCCAUAAAACCACAGUGGUGGUGUCAAACCUGUAAGAACUGACCCCCAAGAGAAGACAAUGGUGAGAGGAAAGGGUGAAAUACAUUAUUAUUAUUAUUAUUAU